GUUCGAAAUAUCGCACUCUUACGAAAAAUAUCUCUCUUUUUUUACGAGAAAUAGAGUAAAAUCACUCUAAUUUGGACUCUACUAUGGCAGUAGAGAAUGUCAAUAAGAAUAGUGGACAUGAGAAAAAGGGAUGCGCUAAGCAUGUUACACCUGAAUCUGAAAAAAAGGAAGGAGUAGAAACAAAAGAAACAUAAGACCAUAAUACUAAUAAAAAGUGUUAAACAGACACUAAAAAUUGAAGUAUAUUGGAUCACCUCAUCAAGCUGAAAGUUCAUUCUUUUUUACAUGGGACACCAUUUCUAGUUGAAAAUUCAUUCUCAUACAUAUAAGUCACCCUCUGCUAGCUGAGGAUCCAUUCUCUAACAAAAUCUUAAAUGGAAAAUGAGGCAAAGAAUUUACAAUUUACAUGCUGUAAACCAGCAUGCAUUGACUAUAACUGAGCAUGCUUGAUAAAAAUGUACUUUAUUGAAACUUGCUCAAUUUUCUUAUUUGGUAGAUCUAGUGUAUUAAGCACACUUUACUUAAGUAUCAUAUAACAGAGAUGACGUUAUUGAUAUUGAUUAUUUGUAAAACCAUAUAAGGUCAUGGCGUAUGCCAAAAGUUGUAAAUACUGUGAUUAAAGAUCAGUCUAUAUUCGCAAACCAAAGCGUGCGGUUGUGUUAACUGACUCCAAUGAAUAUAUAG